rnacentral:tRNA from 1 species
GCAGAUGUAGUUCAGUGGUAAAGUGCCUGCCUAGCAUGCAGGAGGUGGUGGGUUCAAUCCCCAGCAACGGAA